CCCUUAGAUGAUUUGGGCUGCACGCGCGCUACACUGACCCUAACAAUGAGCAACUGUCUGGCCUGAGAUGGCUGGGUAGCCUUUUCAACCCAUGUCAUGAUUGGGCUAGAUUUUUGUAAGUCUUGAUCUCUAACGAGGAAUCCCUAGUAUGCGUGAAUCAUCAAUCCUUGCAGAUUAUGUCCCUGCCCUUUGUACACACCGCCCGUCGCUCCUACUGAUUGGGUGAUCCGGUGAGCUGUUCGGCCAUAGCAAUGUUUCUUGAGCAGGGCAAUGAAUGUUUCGCAAACCUUGCCACUUAGAGGAAGGAGAAGUCGUAACA
rnacentral:rRNA from 1 species